GGACUACCGGGGUAUCUAAUCCUGUUUGCUCCCCUUGCUUUCGCGCCUCAGCGUCAGUUUCAGCCCAGAAAACCGUCUUCACCACCGGUGUUCUUCCACAUAUCUACGCAUUUCACCGCUACACGUGGAAUUCCGUUUUCCCUAACUGUACUCUAGUUCGGAAGUUUCAAAUGCAGCUUCGGAGUUGAGCCCCGAAAUUUCACAUCUGACUUUCCGAACCGCCUACGCGCCCUUUACGCCCAGUAAUUCCGAUCAAUGCUUGCACCCUCCGUAUUACCGCGGCUGCUGGCAC
rnacentral:rRNA from 1 species